rnacentral:rRNA from 1 species
CAGUCGCCGCGGUAAUACGAAGGGUGCAAGCGUUAAUCGGAAUUACUGGGCGUAAAGCGUGCGUAGGCGGUGAGUUAAGUCUGCUGUGAAAUCCCCGGGCUCAACCUGGGAAUGGCAGUGGAUACUGGCUCGCUAGAGUGUAUCAGAGGAUGGUGGAAUUCCCGGUGUAGCGGUGAAAUGCGUAGAGAUCGGGAGGAACAUCAGUGGCGAAGGCGGCCAUCUGGGACAACACUGACGCUGAGGCACGAAAGCGUGGGGAGCAAACAGGAUUAGAUACCCCCGUAGUCCCUGUCUCUUAUAC